CCUACGGGUGGCAGCAGUGAGGAAUAUUGGUCAAUGGACGAGAGUCUGAACCAGCCAAGUAGCGUGAAGGAUGACUGCCCUAUGGGUUGUAAACUUCUUUUAUAUGGGAAUAAAAUGUUCCACGUGUGGGAUUUUGUAUGUACCAUAUGAAUAAGGAUCGGCUAACUCCGUGCCAGCAGCCGCGGUAAUACGGAGGAUCCGAGCGUUCUCCGGAUUUAUUGGGUUUAAAGGGAGCGUAGGUGGAUUGUUAAGUCAGUUGUGAAAGUUUGCGGCUCAACCGUAAAAUUGCAGUUGAAACUGGCAGUCUUGAGUACAGUAGAGGUGGGCGGAAUUCGUGGUGUAGCGGUGAAAUGCUUAGAUAGCACGAAGAACUCCGAUUGCGAAGGCAGUUCACUGGACUGCAACUGACACUGAGGCUCGAAAGUGUGGGUAUCAAACAGGAUUAGAUACCCGGGUAGUC
rnacentral:rRNA from 1 species